GAUUAAAUGGCUGAAGUUUAGGCAAUAAAUUGUAAAUUUAUUUAUGGGAAAUGUCUCUUUAAUCA
rnacentral:tRNA from 1 species